rnacentral:rRNA from 1 species
AGAGUUUGAUUCUGGCUCAGGAUGAACGCUGGCGGCGUGCUUAACACAUGCAAGUCGAAUGUAGCAAUACAUGGCGGACGGGUGAGUAACGCGUGAGCAAUCUGCCCAUGUCUGGGGGAUAACAGUUGGAAACGACUGAUAAUACCGCAUAAUAUGGUUUGAAGGCAUCUUCUUACCAUCAAAGAUUUAUCGGAUAUGGAUGAGCUCGCGUCUGAUUAGCUAGUUGGUGAGGUAACGGCUCACCAAGGCGACGAUCAGUAGCCGACCUGAGAGGGUGAUCGGCCACAUUGGAACUGAGACACGGUCCAAACUCCUACGGGAGGCAGCAGUGGGGAAUAUUGGGCAAUGGAGGCAACUCUGACCCAGCAACGCCGCGUGAAUGAUGAAGGUCUUCGGAUUGUAAAGUUCUUUUCUAAGGGAAGAAGAAAGUGACGGUACCUUAGGAAUAAGCCUCGGCUAACUACGUGCCAGCAGCCGCGGUAAUACGUAGGAGGCAAGCGUUAUCCGGAAUGACUGGGCGUAAAGGGUGCGUAGGUGGUUUGACAAGUUAGUAGCGCAACUCCGGAGCUUAACUUCGGAACUACUACUAAAACUGUUGGACUUGAGUGCAGGAGGGGCAAUCGGAAUUCCUAGUGUAGCGGUGGAAUGCGUAGAUAUUAGGAGGAACACCAGUGGCGAAGGCGGAUUGCUAGACUGUAACUGACACUGAGGCACGAAAGCGUGGGGAGCAAACAGGAUUAGAUACCCUGGUAGUCCACGCCGUAAACG